rnacentral:rRNA from 1 species
GAUGAACGCUGGCGGCGUGCCUAAUACAUGCAAGUCGAGCGAACGGACGAGAAGCUUGCUUCUCUGAUGUUAGCGGCGGACGGGUGAGUAACACGUGGAUAACCUACCUAUAAGACUGGGAUAACUUCGGGAAACCGGAGCUAAUACCGGAUAAUAUUUUGAACCGCAUGGUUCAAAAGUGAAAGACGGUCUUGCUGUCACUUAUAGAUGGAUCCGCGCUGCAUUAGCUAGUUGGUAAGGUAACGGCUUACCAAGGCAACGAUGCAUAGCCGACCUGAGAGGGUGAUCGGCCACACGGGACCUGAGAAACGGUCCAGACUCCUACGGGAGGCAGCAGUAGGGAAUCUUCCGCAAUGGGCGAAAGCCUGACGGAGCAACGCCGCGUGAGUGAUGAAGGUCUUCGGAUCGUAAAACUCUGUUAUUAGGGAAGAACAUAUGUGUAAGUAACUGUGCACAUCUUGACGGUACCUAAUCAGAAAGCCACGGCUAACUACGU